AAGACUAUAGACCUGCGGAGUACCUGCGGAGGGAUCAUUACAGAGAAAUUGCCCUUUGGGGUAGAUCUCCCACCCUAUGUUUACAUUACCUUUGUUGCUUUGGCAGGCCCGUCUUUCGACCACUGGCUUCGGCUGGUCAGUGUCUGCCAGAGGACCCCUAAACUCUUGAUAUUUUGUUGUCUGAGUAAAUAUAUAAUAGUUAAAACUUUUAACAACGGAUCUCUAGAUCGGAAGAGCACA
rnacentral:misc_RNA from 1 species